rnacentral:rRNA from 1 species
UACAGAGGUCCCAAGCGUUGUUCGGAUUCACUGGGCGUAAAGGGUGCGUAGGCGGCCUGUUGCGUCCGCUGUGAAAACCCGGGGCUUAACCCCGGGCUUGCAGUGGAUACGGGCAGGCUGGAGGCAGGCAGGGGAGAACGGAAUUCCCGGUGUAGCGGUGAAAUGCGCAGAUAUCGGGAGGAACACCGGUGGCGAAGGCGGUUCUCUGGGCCUGUACUGACGCUGAGGAGCGAAAGCGUGGGGAGCGAACAGG